AUGGCAGCCAUUGACCUAUGCCCGAUAUGGGCUCUACCUACACAGGACUCUGCCUGUUUCUAUGUGAGAAGUACUGAGGGGGAAAGGAUAGUGCCUGGAUUCCCAGCAACCUGGUUACAGGGACCAGUGUCCUUUGAGGAUGUGACUGUGGAGUUCACCCAGGAGGAGUGGGUGAUGCUGGACUCUGCUCAGAGAAGUAUGUACAGAGAUGUAAUGUUGGAAAACUAUAUGAAUCUCACCUUAGUGGAAUAUCAGUUAUGCAAGCCUGUGAUCUCCCUGUCGGGUCAAGAAGACAUAAGAACUGUGAAAAGGAGAAUUCCCCAAGGCACCUGUCUAGACUGGGAGAUUCAACUGAAAACCAAAGAAUCAACUUCUAACCAGAAUAUUUUUGGGGGAAAAUCAUCUAGUGGCAAGAAAAUGAUAAGAUUCACAACGGAUGAUUGGUCUCCCACAUUAAGAGCAGACUGGGAAUGCCGUAAAAUCAGAAAACAGCACAAGAUCCCAGAGGGGAUUUUGAGGCAAGUGACAUUUACUCAAAAGAAGGCAGCAUCUCAGGAGGGAUUGUAUGACUAUCAUGAAUUAAAGAAGGACUCUAAACUCAGAUCAAAACUUGUUUUUUCAAAGAGAGUUUCCAUCAGUAAACAUUGCCAUAAGUGUUACUUAGAUAUUGAGUGUUGGAAGCAUAAUUCAAUCCUAAACAGUUAUGGAAAAAACUCUGUAAGUGAGAGGGUCUGUGAAAGUCAUGACUAUGACAGAGCUCUGUGGCAUCUUGAAAGAACUCAAACAGCACAAAAAGAGUACACAUGCUCCGAACAUGGCAUACACUUUAAACAUAAUAACAUGCUUCCUAUAUGCAACAAUUGUCAUAUCGGGAAGAAUUCCUAUGAGUGUAAUAAAAACAAAACCUUUUGUCAUCAUUCAUCCCAUAAGCAACAGGAGCAAACACCUACUGAAGAGAAUCAUGAACAUAAUCAGCAUGGGAAAGCUUUCAAAAGGAUUUCUAAUCUUAUUUUGCACAAGAGAAGUCACAUGGGUGAGAAACAAUAUGAAUGUAAAGAAUGUAGGAAAGUCUUCAAUGAUUCCUCAACCCUAAGAAGACAUAAAAGAACUCACACUGGUGAGAAACCCUAUGAAUGUAAUCAAUGUGGAAAAGCUUUCAGUCAAAAAACAUCUCUUAAGGUUCAUGUGAGAACUCACACUGGAGAGAAACCUUAUGAGUGUAAUCAUUGUGGAAAAUCCUUUGGCACAAGUUCUUACCUUAUAGUGCACAAGAGAAUACACAGUGGGGAGAAACUCUAUGAAUGCAAUGACUGUGGAAAAGCCUUCAACACAAGCUCUCACCUUAAAGUUCACAAGAAAACACACACUGGAGAGAACCUUUAUGAAUGCACUGACUGUGGGAAGGUUUUUAGUGGUCUCUCAUCUCUUAGAAUGCAUGUGAGAACUCAUACUGGGGAGAAACCCUAUGAAUGUAAGGAAUGCAGGAAAGCCUUCAGUGUUUCCUCUUCCCUUAGGAGACAUGUGAGAACUCACACUGGAGAGAAACCCUAUGGCUGUAUUCAAUGUGGAAAAACCUUCAGUCAGAAUUCUUCACUUACUAUACACAAGAGAAUUCAUACUGGGAGAGAAACCUUGUAACCAUUAAGAACAUGGAGUUGCAUUUUUCAGUGUCUUAAGGCCACAGCCCUUGCUGCUCCAUCUCUUCACUCUCUCUGGACCUUAACCUGGCCUGUUCAUCCUUUAGCCCAGGAUGUCCGGAAGCAAGCAUAAAAGCAGCAGUGAUGUAGCUUGUACUACUGUAUUUUUCAAGGCUUUAAAGGCAGACUUUUUGAAAGUGUUACCUCUUUCUUCCAAGUCAUUCACACCCAAUCUGCAAGGUUUGCUGCCUCUCUGCUUUGAAAUUUCUUCCAUCUCUUCAGAAGGAUUUAACAGUUUCCUGUCCUGAGACGCAUUGUAUAAUAUUCAAUAGAAAAUUCUUUGGGGUCAUUUCUCAGUAACAAAACUUGACCCAGCCUGAACUCUAUGUGGGUAUCUUAUUUUAAGUCCCCUGAAGCACCGGUUGUUGCUUUCUAAGAAAAUAUAGAAUUCUGAUUGUUCUUGCAACAACUAAUAUUUACAUUACUAGUACUGAAUGUACCUGUUGCUCCAUCUCCUUAUCCUUCUGCAUUUAUAGUAACUUCUUGUUUUAAUGUUGAAGUGUAAUAAUCUUUUGGGAAACUUGUAAAAAUUUUAUUGAAGCAUAAUACAUAGAGAAAUGUGUACAGCUUAAUGAAUUUCCCCAAAUAGAAUACACCUAUUUAGUCGGCCCCUAGAUCGAGAAAACGAAAUGAGUACUUUCACUGAUGCUACUAGAAUCUUACACUCAACUCCAUUCAUCCCCUCCUAUCAAGUGUUACUGUCAUGCUUCUUUAGUUUCAUGUAUAUUUUAAACUCCAGCUGAUAUUAUAAUUGUUGUGUUGACAAUAUUCAUUUGUAUUUCUUGCAGAGUCAUCUUUUUAACAGCCAUUUAAAAUGUGAAAACCUUUCUUAGCUUACAGGCCCCGAUAUAGCCCAUGGGCCUUAGUUUCCCAAUACUUGACUUAUAUUUACCCCUUGUGUUCUUUACUGCCUGCACUGCAAGGUUUCCAUCUAGGACCAGUUCAUACUGUCUGAAGAACUCAUCUUUAAUGUUUCUUUUAGCACAGGCAUGCUACACAAGUUCCCUCCAUUUUUGUUUAUCUGAAACAUCUUUAUUUCUGCUUUAUCUCUAAAGGACUUUUAGCUUGGUAUAGACAUCUAGAUUGGUCGAAUAUUUUUUUUCCUUGUCAGCACUUUAAAGGUGUUGUUUCAUUAUCUUCUUCCAUCGUUUCAUUUAAGAUGAAAACUUGCAGUCUUCCUGUUGCUGCUGUGAAAGUAGUCUCUCCCCUACUCUGUACCAGCUUCUGAUAACCAGGCUUUAUCUUUUGUUACAAUGUGCAUAGUUGUGGUGAUGUCCCACUUUAGCCUGCUUGGAACUUGCUGAGCUUCCUGAACCUGAGGGCUGAUAUCUUGCAUCUCUUUGCAAGGUUCUUCACUAACUCCUCAAAUAUUUCUUCUGUCAUCCUCUUCUUAAAAGACUAACUAAACACAUUAGAACUUUUGAGUUUGUCCUAAAUGUCUAUGUCUUACACUCAUCUUUUUUCCCUUCUCCCUUCUGUUUAGUAUGGAUAAUUAGAUAAUCAUGACAACAGAGUAAUAAAAAUAUUAUAACUGUUUCAGAGCUAUCAUGGUUUCCUUCCUAUGUUUCACACAAAGUUUUCACAACUUGAAUAUGCAAACCUAAGACAAUUGUGUGUCUGUAAUACAAACUCCUUAUAAGUUUGUUGUAAGUUUAUAUUAUAAACUCCUAGAUCAAAAUGUUCAAAUUGGAUGUUUAGCCCUUCACACAUAUUGAGAUGGUCACACUAUGUAUCACCAUUAUCUCUCUGUCAAACCAAUUGGAACUGAAAUAAUGUAUUAUACAAGUAAUUUAAAGUACAUCAUAUGCUUUAUUCUGUUUGCUUUUAUACCUUAAUGUGUCUGGCUGGCUAUUGCUACUGAAUUUCAUCUUGAAAAACAGGAAGCUUUACUUUUGGUCUUCUGCUACCUCUGAAAAGUGCCACAGCUUAUAAAUGUUAAAUACGGAAAGAUAUAACACAGACUUGUGUGCUGAAAUUGACUGAAAGCAACUAUGAACCUUGCCAGCACUGACUUGCUAUGACAAAGAAAGCAUACUGUAUAAAUGAAAAUAUCCACAAACUAUUCACUUUGUUUUUUCAGUGGCAACAGUGUUUUGACAUAUCUUUUACUGUAUAGCCUAGGAAUUAACUGUAUUUUGAUUUAGUGUAUUUAAUACA